rnacentral:misc_RNA from 1 species
AAUAAAAAUUAUAUUCUAACUUUUAGUGUUGUGGGCUUUAUGUAGAUACUUUCAUUUCGAAGAAAUUCCAUCAGCACCCGGAUUUGUAUUUUUAGGCAGGACAAACAAGCUACUGAACCCACUUUAAAAGUGGGUCAAUAUUACAGGCCAUCCCACAAUUUUCAGAUGCCCUGGAUAUGUUACGAGUGUCAGAAUUAGCAUAGGUAAUCCUAAACUCUGAAUUGCCUUAUUUACCUAAUGUUGGGUUUAUAAUAAAAUUCAUAAAAUAUUCAUG